rnacentral:rRNA from 1 species
UACGAAGGUCCCAAGCGUUAUCCGGAUUUAUUGGGUUUAAAGGGUGCGUAGGCGGGUUAUUAAGUCAGUGGUGAAAGCCUUCAGCUUAACUGAAGAAUUGCCAUUGAUACUGAUGAUCUUGAGUAUGAUUGAGGUGGGCGGAAUGUGUCAUGUAGCGGUGAAAUGCUUAGAUAUGACACAGAACACCAAUUGCGAAGGCAGCUCACUAAGUCAUAACUGACGCUGAUGCACGAAAGCGUGGGGAGCAAACAGG